rnacentral:rRNA from 1 species
AGUGACGAGAAAUAACAAUACAGGGCAUUUUAUGCUCUGUAAUUGGAAUGAUGGGAAUGUAAAACCCUUCCAGAGUAACAAUUGGAGGGCAAGUCUGGUGCCAGCAGCCGCGGUAAUUCCAGCUCCAAUAGUGUAUAUUAGAGUUGUUGCAGUUAAAAAGCUCGUAGUUGGAUUUCUGCUGUGGUCAUCCGGUACCGCCCGUAUGGGUGCGCACCUGGUUUGGCUCCGGCUUUCUUCCUGUAGCCGUCCGCGCUUAAUUGCGCGUACUGUGUUACGGAACUUUUACUUUGAGAAAAAUAGAGUGUUUCAAGCAGGCUUGUCGCCCUGAAUACUUCAGCAUGGAAUAAUAGGAUAGGACCUUGGUUCUAUUUUGUUGGUUUCUAGGACCAAGGUAAUGAUUAAUAGGGACAGUGGGGGG